rnacentral:rRNA from 1 species
UACGUAGGGAGCGAGCGUUGUCCGGAUUCAUUGGGCGUAAAGGGCGCGUAGGCGGCUCAUGAAGGCUGUGGUGAAAGUCCGGGGCUCAACCUCGGAUCGGCCGUGGCGACUCGUGGGCUGGAGCACUGUAGAGGCGGGUGGAAUUCCGGGUGUAGCGGUGGAAUGCGUAGAGAUCCGGAAGAACACCAGUGGCGAAGGCGGCCCGCUGGGCAGUGGCUGACGCUGAGGCGCGACAGCGUGGGGAGCAAACAGG